rnacentral:rRNA from 1 species
GACGGGGGCCCGCACAAGCGGUGGAGCAUGUGGUUUAAUUCGAUGCAACGCGAAGAACCUUACCUACUCUUGACAUCCAGAGAACUUAGCAGAGAUGCUUUGGUGCCUUCGGGAACUCUGAGACAGGUGCUGCAUGGCUGUCGUCAGCUCGUGUUGUGAAAUGUUGGGUUAAGUCCCGCAACGAGCGCAACCCUUAUCCUUUGUUGCCAGCGGUUAGGCCGGGAACUCAAAGGAGACUGCCAGUGAUAAACUGGAGGAAGGUGGGGAUGACGUCAAGUCAUCAUGGCCCUUACGAGUAGGGCUACACACGUGCUACAAUGGCGCAUACAAAGAGAAGCGACCUCGCGAGAGCAAGCGGACCUCAUAAAGUGCGUCGUAGUCCGGAUUGGAGUCUGCAACUCGACUCCAUGAAGUCGGAAUCGCUAGUAAUCGUGGAUCAGAAUGCCACGGUGAAUACGUUCCCGGGCCUUGUACACACCGCCCGUCACACCAUGGGAGUGGGUUGCAAAAGAAGUAGGUAGCUUAACCUUCGGGAGGGCGCUUACCACUUUGUGAUUCAUGACUGGGGUGAAGUCGUAC